GUCCCUUUCGGUAUGUCAUAACCACAAACAUUGCAAUCACUUGAAGACUCGUGAGGUAUGAGAAGUGGUGCCACAGGGUAUAUGCGAAGUGUCUCAGUGAUUAUGUUCUGCAGGUACUUCAUUUUGGAAGCGUUUGAUUCAUUCAAGAGUUGAUCAUGGCCUGCGUGUGUUUCUAUCUCGUGUUGAAGCUUCUUCAUUGUUUGUGGAUUGUUGAGGAGAAGCGACACUGCCCAUUCCAUUAAGAUAGAAGAUAUUAUUGUGAAGAUAUGGUGAUGAGAGACUUGGAACAGAUACGUCUUCUUUAAUUUGGAGUGGCAUAUGAUGUGGGGUAUUUUCAGUCAAUUUUUCUCAUUACGUGUUAUGACUUUCUCCCUGUUUUUCUACCUUGUCUAUUCAACAAUACUUUUCAUUUCUUCCAACAAAAAGACAAAAGGAAUAAAUGAUGGUGUGCGAUUUACAUUAUUA